AACGAACGCUGGCGGCAUGCCUAACACAUGCAAGUCGAACGAGAUCUUCGGGUCUAGUGGCGCACGGGUGCGUAACGCGUGGGGAUCUGCCCUUUGGUUCGGAAUAACGGUUGGAAACGACUGCUAAUACCGGAUGAUGACAAAAGUCCAAAGAUUUAUCGCCAGAGGAUGAGCCCGCGUAGGAUUAGCUAGUUGGUGUGGUAAAGGCGCACCAAGGCGACGAUCCUUAGCUGGUCUGAGAGGAUGAUCAGCCACACUGGGACUGAGACACGGCCCAGACUCCUACGGGAGGCAGCAGUGGGGAAUAUUGGACAAUGGGCGAAAGCCUGAUCCAGCAAUGCCGCGUGAGUGAUGAAGGCCUUAGGGUUGUAAAGCUCUUUUACCCGGGAUGAUAAUGACAGUACCGGGAGAAUAAGCUCCGGCUAACUCCGUGCCAGCCGCCGCAGUAA
rnacentral:rRNA from 1 species